rnacentral:tRNA from 1 species
UAGGAAGUAGUGUAAUGGGAUCACUUAGAAUUUUGAGUUCUAAAAUAAAGGUUCAAAUCCUUUCUUUUCUAG